UACGUAGGGUGCGAGCGUUGUCCGGAAUUAUUGGGCGUAAAGAGCUCGUAGGCGGUCUGUCGCGUCGAUCGUGAAAACUUGGGGCUUAACCCUGAGCUUGCGGUCGAUACGGGCAUGACUGGAGUUCGGCAGGGGAGACUGGGAAUUCCUGGUGUAGCGGUGAAAUGCGCAGAUAUCAGGAGGAACACCGGUGGCGAAGGCGGGUCUCUGGGCCGAAAUUGACGCUGAGGAGCGAAAGCGUGGGGAGCAAACAGG
rnacentral:rRNA from 1 species